rnacentral:rRNA from 1 species
GAUGAACGCUGGCGGCGUGCCUAAUACAUGCAGGUCGAGCGAACGGACGAGAAGCUUGCUUCUCUGAUGUUAGCGGCGGACGGGUGAGUAACACGUGGAUAACCUACCUAUAAGACUGGGAUAACUUCGGGAAACCGGAGCUAAUACCGGAUAAUAUUUUGAACCGCAUGGUUCAAAAGUGAAAGACGGUCUUGCUGUCACUUAUAGAUGGAUCCGCGCUGCAUUAGCUAGUUGGUAAGGUAACGGCUUACCAAGGCAACGAUGCAUAGCCGACCUGAGAGGGUGAUCGGCCACACUGGAACUGAGACACGGUCCAGACUCCUACGGGAGGCAGCAGUAGGGAAUCUUCCGCAAUGGGCGAAAGCCUGACGGAGCAACGCCGCGUGAGUGAUGAAGGUCUUCGGAUCGUAAAACUCUGUUAUUAGGGAAGAACAUAUGUGUAAGUAACUGUGCACAUCUUGACGGUACCUAAUCAGAAAGCCACGGCUAACUACGUGCCAGCAGCCGCGGUAAUACGUAGGUGGCAAGCGUUAUCCGGAAUUAUUGGGCGUAAAAGCGCGCGUAGGCGGUUUUUUAAGUCUGAUGUGAAAGCCCACGGCUCAACCGUGGAGGGUCAUUGGAAACUGGAAAACUUGAGUGCAGAAGAGGAAAGUGGAAUUCCAUGUGUAGCGGUGAAAUGCGCAGAGAUAUGGAGGAACACCAGUGGCGAAGGCGACUUUCUGGUCUGUAACUGACGCUGAUGUGCGAAAGCGUGGGGAUCAAACAGGAUUAGAUACCCUGGUAGUCCACGCCGUAAACGAUGAGUGCUAAGUGUUAGGGGGUUUCCGCCCCUUAGUGCUGCAGCUAACGCAUUAAGCACUCCGCCUGGGGAGUACGACCGCAAGGUUGAAACUCAAAGGAAUUGACGGGGACCCGCACAAGCGGUGGAGCAUGUGGUUUAAUUCGAAGCAACGCGAAGAACCUUACCAAAUCUUGACAUCCUUUGACAACUCUAGAGAUAGAGCUUUCCCCUUCGGGGGACAAAGUGACAGGUGGUGCAUGGUUGUCGUCAGCUCGUGUCGUGAGAUGUUGGGUUAAGUCCCGCAACGAGCGCAACCCUUAAGCUUAGUUGCCAUCAUUAAGUUGGGCACUCUAAGUUGACUGCCGGUGACAAACCGGAGGAAGGUGGGGAUGACGUCAAAUCAUCAUGCCCCUUAUGAUUUGGGCUACACACGUGCUACAAUGGACAAUACAAAGGGCAGCGAAACCGCGAGGUCAAGCAAAUCCCAUAAAGUUGUUCUCAGUUCGGAUUGUAGUCUGCAACUCGACUACAUGAAGCUGGAAUCGCUAGUAAUCGUAGAUCAGCAUGCUACGGUGAAUACGUUCCCGGGUCU